rnacentral:tRNA from 1 species
AGGUAGAAUGGCCGAGUGUUUAGGCAGCAGGCUGUAUCCUGCUUACAUAGGGUUUAAACCCUGUUUCUAU